GAUUGUAAGAGAAAGCCUUCAGGGUUUUUUCUUUUCUUUUUUUUUUUAAAGAGUUAUGUUACCUAAUGUUAAACUUGAUUUGAUACAUUCAUCUGGCUUGUUAAGCGACUUCUACAAAUAACUGGGCAUGCUUCAUGCUGCAGUCAGUGGGUCAGCCUUUGCACCUGUGAAUCAGCUCAGUCUUUUCUGUCACAUACAGUAACUGUCUCAGUUGCAGUGUCACUAUUUUAGUUACCUCUGUCAAACAUGCAAAGUCCUUCCACACGCACGGUAGUAGUGUGACAUUUACAAAUCAGCUUUUUGGAAUAAAAAGACCAUUUUGUAAGUGCUUAUAACUAGGUUUUGAAGAACAAAAGUGCUUCUCAAAGAUUUUUUUAAAAAGGAAGUAUACAGAAAUGGUAAGUAGAGACAAAAUAAUUGCAUAUUUUAAAGAACGUUCUGAUUUCAAUUAUUGGCUGCUUUUGAAUCCAAUUUUUUUCUUUCUUUAAAGGAGGAAAGGAGGAUUUUGAUGUUUGUUAGUAAAUAGCUCUUAGAACUGCAAGUUAUGAUAUGAGUUGCUAACAAUAUGUAGCAGACUGUGGGCUGGGAAGAAAGCAAGGGUUAUGCAUAAGAAAAUAAACUAUAUUUACUAUAUACAACUUUCAGAGAGAACAGGAAAGUAUAUUGGCUCAGCCCAUGCUAGCUCUGGUAAACUGAGCUGGACCACUUUAACAGGGCAGCUCAGUUUAGAGAACAUGUCUGAAUGAAGAUGGGCUCAGUAGAGGGGCCAUUUCUAUAACAGCUCUCUAAAUUUACAGUGCUUACACGGAACUUUACAGGCAACUUCGAUGCUAGGUAACCUAGUCUUACUGUGCAGAACUAUUGACUUUCUGUAGUUAAAAGGUUUUUAGUAUCUUGAUUCUGCUGUUAUGUAAUCUGCAUUGAUGUUUUUAACACUGCAUAUGUUUGUUAUGGGAAUCAUAUCUAAAAUUCCUGAAAUCAUACAUGGAGGCUGGUAGAUGACAAAACAUACAAGACUAUUAAGUUCACAAUGUUGAUGUCUUAUGCAUUUGCUACAGAAGUAUUGUAGCAUCUUAUUAAGUGGUGAUAGCUUAAUAAAGCAGGGAAGGAAGACAACUGUAAACUAAAGGAAAACAAGUCAACAUUUACCAGCCUUCUGCUGUAAUGGACUCUUGCAGGCUUACUGUUAAUCCCCAGAUACUCCAUCAUGUGGAAAAUGUGUGUAAAUGCUGACAGGGCAGCAGUACAGUGGAUAGUACAAUGACGAAGAAUGCUUCCUUGGAUUUAAGUAUUCUGAGUUUAUAUAUUUGAAUUUGUAUUGAGUAAGAUCCCUUUCCUCUAUACUGUUCACUUUUUAUUUUAAUAAGCACUGAUUAGGGAUUGGAAACUAACAUCUGGGAGGCAUUUUCAUUCUAGCCUUUUUGGUGAAAAUUUUUGUUUUGUAACAUAUUUUGAAUACAAAUCUGAAUUUUGCAAUAAUAGAAUACAUUUAAUAUCUAUUACUGCAAUCCUUAUAUACUGUAGAAUUGUAUCAGGGCAUAUAGCAGCACUCUAGGCAUGCAUAUCUAUCUAAUGUUAGCUCUCUAGCCUCUGUAAAAACUUCUCUCCAUUCCCUCUGUAGACUAUACGGUUUCUGCUGAUCUCCCUUUUCAAAAUUUAAGUAAUCACCUUUUUGAAAAUUAAUUCUCUUAUUGCUGAUUUUUCUACCUUGUCUUUUCUGUCUAAAUGAUUGAAUGAUGACUAACUUGCUCUGCAGAUGUUUUAUUCUUGCUACUUUAUUUAAUGGACUUCUGGCAGAGGCCUUUUAAAUUACUAUGACUCUGAAGUAGCAGCCUUCUGCAGUGCAGCACACCUACUUGGGACCUGCUCAGGGAAAUAUUUGCCACUUCUUCAUGGCAUUGUUUUAAUUGCUGGCAGUACUCACAGAAUGCUGUUGAAAAAGAGAUACUUCCCAAAAUGCAGACUUCCUUAGCUUUUGAGCCAUCUCACUGCAGGUCUUAAAGUUUCUUCCAAUUUCUUCCGUUGGUCUUCUGCUUUCCUUCUGUUGAUGCCAUUGCUUUUAGAGGCACUGUCUAUUCUAUUAGUGAAUCUACUUCAUGGUAUCUGUAGUGAGGAAAAGCAAUGGUAUGCAUGCCUACUAAACAAGGACAAUUACUGACGAUAGGGACUGAUCUUAGUUUUAUCCACAUGGCUGCCAACCAUCUUAAAAGGGUAAAUAUAGCUGCUAGGAAACUGAUCUAACUGAAUCUAACUUGAAAGCAAGCUGAGGAAAAAAAAAUACAUAGAUGAAAAAUCAAACAGCUUUUAACCUUCUGAAAAGCUGUAGAGGGAAAAAAAACAGCCUGGUUCUAAGUUCAUGCAGAUUUAAACAUCGCAUUUCCAGCUCACAUGCUCUUGAUUUUCCCUUUUGGCAGUUUGUUCAGAUUAGAGUUAGUGGAUGGAAUCUCAGAGGAGAAUAAAAGCCAGUGUUUUGAAAACUAAUGAAGUAAUUAUCCAAAGCAUUAUUUACAAUGAUUACUUAGAAGAUAAUGAGACCCUUUAAUUAUGUUUGUUCUGCAUAGCUAGCCUUUCAAUAAUUCAGAGUACUACUGUUCAAUUUCCUCUAUAUUCACUUUGCACAUUUUUGUUUGGAAAACUGUCACAGCUGUUUGUUAUGUGCAAGUAUGGGCCCUUGUUCUGGAUGUCGUUUGUCACACGAGGAUCACCUGCUCCCUUCAGCUGGAGUAGGAGGCUUUUAAGUUCAGGCUUCUCUGACCCUUCAGUGUAGUGCAGAACAACAUAAAUGCGGGGUGAAUCGAAGCUGAACCUCUGAAGGGCUGUGUUGUGGCUUGGAAGUAGCACUGCUACAUGGUAACAUAUGCAUUAAUGCAAAGAAAGCUAUCAGUCACAUUCUGGAUCAUGGCAAUUCUGUACUGGAUUCCCCCAAGUCAAACCAAUCAUUUCCAAAGGCAGCUAAGUCCUUGAUUAAAGAUCAAGAGGAAGACAAAGUAGUGAGUAACCUUUUCCAAUCUAGGCUAUGUCAGAACUCGUUUGAAAACUUGCCUGGUGUUUCUUGUUGGUUGUUUUCUUGUUAUUGUUAUAUUAUUUCCUUUUUUUGAGGUGUGAUAUUAUAAGUAAAUGUAUAUAAUAAGCACUUUUAUUAAACUCUUAAUGUAUAUAUAUUUUAAGAGCUAUACGAAGCCUUGUUAACAAAAGGCUUUCUGUUAUAGGAUUAGUAUGCAAACUAAUUAAAACAGAAGAACCCUACUGCUUGGUAUGUAGCUUAGAAAGGGUAGGUCAGAAAGUACCUUGUUUGUGAGCAGUAACAGUAUAACACUUGCACACCUGAUCUGACUACAAAGGUGGGCUAUUUUGGAUACACUGUGCCUGAAAUCAUAUACUUGUAUGAAAGAAGAGUUGCUCUAGAGCUUGUGAAGCUUCUGACAGGAGGUGCCCUCUUGAUGUCCCUGGUGAGUCUGAAGUGAGAUGUAGAUCAUGGUUAAAGCCUAAGCUCACAGGCCCAGGAGGCUAUGGCUACUCUUUCAAUCUGUCCCUCUUUCUUUCAUCUCUGUUGAGGAAAUGUUUUUAUCUCCACAACAAAUAAUUCAUAUUAAGAAUUCUAGUUUAGUAUGUACUCUCUGACUUCUGGGUUUGCCGAAGGGCAUUGCAAAAUUGUUUCCACAAAAUGCCUGGUGGAUCUGUAUUCAGUUAUGUUACCCACUUGAUAUCCUCAUGACCCUCAUCAAUACAUUCUUAGGCAUUUAUUGUUAGAAUAAUUGCAGUUCCUUCUCACAUUCCCCACAUUAAAAAGUCUCUGCUUUCUAAACUGCCUACGAAGCGGCACAUCCAUUUUUUAAAUAAAUUAAUUUGCAUGUGUAGAAGAGUACAUUUAGCCUACGCCUACAAUAUAAAGCUUUUUUUAACCUACAGAUACUGCUCACAAGACUAUAAAAAAAAAAAAAUAGUCACCUAAAACUUGGUUCAGAACCCUUAUAAUGACUGUAGCAAGUUCCUACAAAGGACUGUGAAGUUAUUUAGUAGCAUAAUGUGUGAUCUGCAUUUCUGAAAUGGUUGGAUAAUUGACAGCCUAUGUAUGAAUUUUGGAGGCUAAUUUUAGGUUACAGUAAUCUUGCCCUGUGCCUGAAAACUUGAUACCACACGGUCAGGUCACCCACUCUGCCAGGACAAGUUGGGAGAAUGGCUCUGAUGUUCCGUGCAGACCCAGAGCAUGACAGCUGGGCACGUUUCUGUUCACUUGAUUCUGGAGCUGUUCAUAAGGCUUUUGUCAGAGUCCCCAUUUAUACGGUUUUCCCCCAGAGUAUUUUGGAGAUUUUCCUUGCAAUAUGAGGGAAAUAAAAAGGUGGAACAAAUUAGUCAUAGUACAAAAGAACAGGUAAAAUCAUAGGAAGAUAAAAUUCAGCAAGUGUUGAUAUGUACUUUUAAUUACAGCUGAUAUAUGUGGUUUUUUUGUUUUUGUUUUUAAUCCUGAGAAGUAGUGGAGAUUAUUGUAAACUUCAAGUGAAUUUGAAGAAAAUAAAGGCAAAGCCCCAUUGCUGCCCUGUAAUCCAGCUGGAUUCAGAACCUAUAUACAACAGACUUGGGUUUAGCUAAUAGAUUGGCUUUCUACAUUUUUCUCAUCUAAGUUGGUUCAUUGCUAAACUAGAAGCAAGCAUGUGCUAUAAAGGAUGACUCACAGACUUGUGGGCCAGGAUGCUUUUCUUGCUUUUUCCAUUGAGCAUUUUUUAUACUCGGACACAAAUAAGUGCUCUUGUUGACUUCCCUAUCAUCUAGUACCGGGAAAGUAAAUCUGAAAUUAUUUUGAUUACGUUACAAUAUAUUUUUUGUGAUUAAAGAAGUAUUGGUUAAUUGCCAUCUAUGAUAAACUUUUAAGUUCUGAGCUUACACAUUGAUGCAUAUAGCACUGCCACUCAAUAUAGUAACAUAUAAAAGGAAAACAACUGAGUUGUGUAGAAUAGUGCUUUUUUAAAUAAAUAAAAAUGUAUGUGAUGUUCUUAUUUAAAUGAAUGAUUUAUUGCGGUUUGAGAGAAAGCCAACAGCUUUGUGAGGAAGGGAGGAUUCAGGGACAUUAGCGGUUUGGAAAUGGGAGCUAGGAUAGGAAAAUGGUUUUCCUUUUUCUUCCCCUACUCUUGGACGGUGAAAUAAGCUAUAGGAAGAGAAAGGGGGAAAGAAGUUAUGGGCAAGGCUGGGAAGUAGCAGCUCCCUUUGAGCAAACCUUCAUUUUGCUUUUCCUUGUGGUGGUAGUACCUGAUGUCAGUGCCAACCCUGCUGCUGUGCAGAUUGCUCCCAUUAGCAUCGGCAUUAUCUCCCUUCCUCCCUCACCAUCAGCAGCCACAGUGAGCUGUGCCAGCUUUAUGCCUGCAGCCAGCUCUGGUCCUAGCCAAGACCUUGUUCAGCUUUAUUUCUCUUUUGAAUCUGGUUUUAUUAUACAGCAGUCUAGUAAAGAAAAGGUAUUCAUACUUGUUUGCAGUUCCUGCAUGGAUGAUAUAAAUGGUCUUAUUCAGUGUCCUGCAAUAACUUUCCGGAAAAGUUUUUUUUAAAAUUCUCAUCAAAAUGCCUUUACAUGCAGUAACUUCCUCUGUAUACAGUUCUAUGCUCUCAUCUCUCAAAUAUGUGUACAUUUAUUCUAUAUAUUUGCUACCUCUUCCAUUUCAGUGUCUUUUGAGAUGUUGUUUCCCACUAUCAAAAUGUCAAGUAAAGAAAGAAAGAGAGUGCAAGAGGAGGGAAAGCUGCAUUCAUUGUUCAGAAAGGACUUCUGGAUUCCUCCCAAUUGUCCUGGGCUAUAACUAGCAGGAAUCAUGAAAGCUAAAACUGUGACAGAUGGUUUGCGUUUGUAGUAUGAGUGGUUCUAAUGACCACCUUUGGUUCACAAAGAGUGACUGCAGAACAGCUACUAGAAGGCUUCUUUUCAAACUCAAGCAGCUAUCUGCUUUAUUAGAAACAAUUCACUUUUCCUUUAUAUUUGGUUUGUUUUGCUGCUUUUUCCUUCUACUGUAUUCUGGUAGAAAUUAGAGCGUUAGGGAAAAUAAUUGACUCAACUUCCUCUUCUGCAGAGAGGUCCAAAUUUUCCUAAUAUGAAAUCCACUCCCCAAAUGGUACAAAAUGCCAAGUCAUGCUGAUGAAAUAGAGACAGCCAGACUCAAGAUUGGCAGAGAAAGGAUGAAAAUAAGGAUAGUGGUGUUUGGAAAAACAGAUCACUUUAGUUUACCCUUUGGGAGCAGCCUAAGUUAUCCUAGAUUAUAUGUUAAUAAAGUAAAAUGACAUCUGCUUCACUAGUGCUUGUAAGACAGCAUGCAGAGUGAGUGACAACAGGAACCUCCAUUAUGAAGUUUCCUUUAAAUGUACAUAAGCAGAGGAAAGAGGGAUCAACCUUCCUGAAAGAAUACUGAACUACAGUGAACUGAGCAAUAUGGUAUAAGGCCAUUUCCCUAGCUGCUUGAUGUUUGUUUAGGCUUUCAAGCUCAAUGAUGCAAGACUUGCUCAUAUUGAGUGAAGCACACUGUAAAGUUUGUGUGAUUUCAGCAGUAUCUUGUAAUUUAAAAAAGCAAUCCAUGCUAAGCUCUCUAGUACACUUCAAAUAACAACGAAUAAUAAUACGUAUUUACUCUGUACCCUGUCAUUCUGAAUUGGGUAACAGUAGAAAGAACAAAGGUCCCACACUUUGUGGUUCUUUAUCCUCCUUAAUUCCAGGGAUGUAGCAGAAAAUGCACUCUUUUGCUAGAGUAAUCUGAUGAAGUAAUGCCACUUUACGUAGACCCAACAUGAGCUUCUUCCUAGGAUUGAAAAAUAGACAAAAUGCCAUGCAAGGAGCAAAAUGCUUCUAAUAAUAUCACUUAUAAUUUGGUUUGCAAUGGUGCCGAGUCUAUCACUUCGUAGCACUAGCCCUCUUGACACUAUGCUGAGCACUGUGCAGACACGGGACUGGUGACUGGGCUCUGCCACAAACAUACUGUAUAGUCAGUUGUUGAGUGAAGGGCACAUUUAAUUUGUUCCAUCGGCCUUCUUCAGCUUCAAGACUGCACUUUGAAUCUUGUGCUUUACUAUGCAAGAGCAAAUUUAUAUAAUACCAGCCAAAUCACUGAGACAUUUUAGAUGUGUUGCAAUGUGUUUUAACGAGAUGUGACGCAUUAUGUUCCACAGUCCAGAAAGGGCAACAGGAAAGCAAAACAAACAUCGGAAAAGCUUCCACACUUCCGACCUGAGGACAGAAGCAGACGGAAAGGUAGCUCAGUAACUCCUAAGAGCAUCAAGGUAAGGGACUGUUACGUGUGUGAAGCCUUUCAGUGGCCUUACUGCCAAUUGCUGAAGCAGCUCUCAUGGCGUUGGCCCGAAUCAGGGGCCAAUCAAUUUUGCUUCCCUGGUAUGAGUAUUUUGGUUUUAUGGUCUAGCACAAACUACUCCUCUGUCCGCAGUUUUAGAUAAAGGAAGCAGUGAAGAUAUUCUCGAGGUUCUCUUGCAGCUGAGACAGAGCACCCCGUUUACCCCCAGAGGAACCGCUUUUCCAGUGACGCUGGGGGGCAUCAGUGGUCGGGAAGUUCAUCUGAUGUUUAUUCUGUCUCCUCUUUUCCAUUUGCUAAUUGACCAGCUCUCCUGAGCUCUCAGUGCUUCUCUCUUCAGCAAAUACAAGCACAUAAAAAUUGCUUUUAAAAAAAAUCAAUAAACACUUAAGUGUUUGGCAUCUCUCAAA